rnacentral:rRNA from 1 species
UACGUAGGGGGCGAGCGUUGUCCGGAUUUACUGGGCGUAAAGCGUCCGCAGGUGGUUGUUCAAGUCCGGUGUGAAAGCCCCCGGCUCAACUGGGGAGGGUCACGCGAUACUGUUCGACUCGAAGGCAGGAGAGGGUAGUGGAAUUCCCGGUGUAGUGGUGAAAUGCGUAGAUAUCGGGAGGAACACCAGUGGCGAAGGCGACUACCUGGCCUGUUCUGACGCUGAGGCGCGAAAGCUAGGGUAGCAAACGGGA